GAUCUGAAAUCAACACAGACCUCUGAGGGCACAAGCAAAAUGGACUAGUCAUGGCUGUGCUGCUCCUGUCUGAGGUUACGUAGCUGAGGAUACGAUCCUGCCUGAGGAUACGAUCCUGCCACGGGCAAAAGGAACCCACUGGGAGACUCCGGAAGUGGCCAUGCUUCCUCCCGACUGGCACCUGUGCAGGGGCUGGCCGCCACCCAUGGCACAGUGUCUCACAGAGGGCGGGGCUGGCCGAGGAGGCAGGAAAGAGCUGUUGUGCUGAUGAGGUGCCGUCGUGUCACACGGACAGGAGUGCCAGAAUUCAGAGGAAGCGCGGGCCUAGGCCGUGGCCAGAACAUCCAGCCUGGCUUUGUGAAUAUCCUGAUGCUUUGAGCUACCCUCAUUCCAACUGCCCGGCCAGGGAAAGGCUGAAGAGGACUGAGCAGUACUCCAAACACGGAAGAGACUAAGAGUGUUGGACUAGCUCGGAGGGCAGGUGGAUCCUGUACAGAGAAGAUCUCUUGGAUGAGUAGUCCUUUGAGCAGGAGGUUGUGAAGCUCCAAGGGGGCAGGGCACAGGAGUUCCCUUGGUUUACAGCAAAAGGAUGAGGACCAGAAGAUUCUGGAAGAAUAAGGAAGAGGAAAGGAAGGGUGGGGAAUCUGCUCCAGCUCCACCCUGCACUCUGGAUCCUCAAACCAUUGCUCUACUUUUCCUUACCUGCCUGUGGGUCUCCUAGACCUGGGAUCUCUGAUUCCAGGUAACAGACAAAGCCCCUGUCCCUUUGUCCUCCAUUCCCCACUUCCCAGCCCCUGCCUCCCCGCAGCUGUGAUAACCCACACGUAGCACUCUGCCCUCUGGAAUUUAUUUUAAGGUCUUGGCUUGUUUAUUUAUUUUAUUUAGAGAUUUCUCGGUGCUUUGUGGGGAGGAAAAUUCGAAUGGGGCGAUUAUGAAAUACUAUUUCACCUCGCUGUUCAUUCACAACAAACAAAGAGAAAUGAUUGGUGAUUAAAAAUGCAUUCUCUCUGCUUGUUUUCUUUUGUUUUACCAUUAUGGAAAUAUUAUAAAUACUGAAUACUAAUCUAGACCUCCGGGACCUCACAGACCUUCCCGAAACCAAGGCUCCUGCUCUUCCCUGGGGCAGCCUCAUGCUGUCCUCUGGGGCCCCAAAAUAUAGCUCAAACCCUCCCCGGAGGGUCCCAGGCCAGGAGACUCCAUGACUCAGUCCUCACUGGACAGAGAUUGAAGUCUCCCACUUCUUUGUCCUGGUUCCUCGCUUUGGCAGAAAUAGUCAAGGAGAGCAGAGCCGUGGAUAUGCAGAGCUCUUGAUUAGUCCAAAAGUUGUGAUCAUAGAGUUUUAUCCCCAGAGUCCAGCACCUGAACCCCCACUCCCUGCUCCACCACUUCUUGGCUGUGUAACUUGGGCAUGUGGCUUCACCUUUCUGAGCUUCCGUUUCUUACUCUGGUUGCUGGGGGUGAAAAUGGUACCCACCUCGUAGGAUUGCUUUGAGGAUUAAAUGGGGUCAUAACAUCUUAUCACAGGGCCUGGCAAACAGAAGUGCUCAAUGAAUGUUGGCUUCUAUCUCAAUUAAUUUCCCUUUCCCUCUUCCGGUCUCAGUUUCUCCCUCUGGAAAGUGAGAAUGCUGCCCUCUAAGUUCCCCCCAGCUCCGGUGGGCGAGGCUUCUGCCUCCAGGAUGAGCGGCAGUGGGGACAUCCUCACGCAUCCUGACUUUCUCUGAGACCUUGUCUGCUUCCCGGGAAGACAGCCUGUACCUGCUCGGGAGGCCUCCGAGUCAGAGCCUGCUUCCCGUGGCCUCUUUUUGAGCCACAAACCUGGCGCUUCCCCCGGUUCCGAUCACAAACAGAUAAGAGUCCGAGGGCCUGAUCCAAUUCCAAAGUGUUACACCAAGUCCAGAUAAACAGUGAGUUCCGUGGUGUCCGCGUUCCUUUUAUCUUUCACUUUAUUUAACCAAAUUAACUGCUCUCCAUGUCCCCUGUGUGUGAGUGUCUCUCUCUGUCAUAUAAAAUACAAUCACGCUUGCUUGCUACAUGUUUCAGAUACUUUAUCAUUAACAUCAAUUCCAGCCAAAUUAGGAGUUUCUCCCAACAUAAUUGCCCUUCCCAUUAUCCAGCACUUUAUUUUUUCAAAGCACUUUCCGACCAUUAAUUAGUUAACCCUUAGGA